GGAAAGGCGUCCUACGGCCGGCUAGGCUGCCGCCCCCUUGGAUGCUGUGGUUGUAGGGUGGGUGACCGACCGACAUCACUUGGGGUCUGGUGUGCCUUCCGAACCCGCUUUCACAGAGCUUCUAGCUGGCCCCGGAGCACCGCGGGCCUCCGCCUCCGGGAAGCCCUCCAGGGCACCGCCCCGGCGCCCCCACCCCGCCCCCGCUCCGCCGGCUCCCGGGCGUCUGGGGCGCUGCUCCCGCUCCCACGCGGGCAUCACCGGUGUCGGGGCGUCCAGGAGGAAGUCCUCCAGCGCCUCGAGUCCCGGCGGAGCCCGCACGGGAGCCGUGGCGGCCGCGAGACGCCUGGGGCCUCCGGGAGGUGAGAGAGUCCAGGGACGACGGCAGCCCCGGGCUUGGGGCACACCCACGGACAGGCCCGGCGGCUGGUCCCCGCGGCUCUUACUGUUUCACGUUAUCCCCCAGCGCCUCGCUCAAGUUCUUCUUGGCUGCUUCCAGCUCGCUCACAAAGGUCGCCAUUGCAGCGCGCGUCUCAGCCCGACCGUAGACCGCGCGGCCCACGGCCACCAGCAACCGAAAGAUCAACGCGGCGGAAGGCCUGCGCUCUGGCCGCUGGAGGCUCGACUCGACCCGACUCCGCUCGGCUCGGCUCGACUCGGCGGCCCCGCCCCCAGCCGCUCGGGAGACGUUGCGUGGGUUUGGUUCUCGGCCCCGCCCGUCUCUCGGUCGGGAAAGCACCCAGCCGAACUCCGUUCACCAACUCCCGCCUCUCGGGUCACGUGACCCGCUUCACCUACUGGGCGCGGGCCCAACCUACGCCCGCCUGCCCGCCCGCGGCGGCGCCCGGAGCGCGCACUUGACUGCCCCGCCCGCCGGGCCCCGCCCCACCCGCCAGGCCCCGCCGACUGCGGGUCUGCUCUUCCCAGAGGGAAGAGCUCAGGUCCCCGAGUGCAUGCAAUAUCCAAUUUACCCUCUUGUCCUCAUCUUUUGCCAAGUGCUCACCGCCUAUGGUGACAUUUAGUUGGUCGAUCUCGUUUUUCUGCCUCCUGCAACUAAAAUGAGAGCUCCCUGAAGGCAGGAUUUGUGUUACUCAAGUUCUGAACAUUCACUAUUGACUGAUCAAAUAAAAAUAAGUCCCAAGCAGGACAACCAAAGCUCCUAAGGGAGAUAACAGGAGGAGUCUCAGCGGCUAAUUAGCCUGACCCACAGAGGAAAAAAACGCAAAGAAUCCGGUUUCUAAUCAAGGUCAAGUGGAAGGACCUAUAAGCUAACUUGUCCUCUGACCUCCCUAUGCACGCUCAAAUUCCAAAUUCACCACACUCGAAUAUGCACAUAUAUAUACUACAAUCAGAAGCCAUAGCUGUGUUCAGUUUAAAACUUUUUAAAGCCUACUUUAAAAGUUUCUCUCUCUCUCUCUCUCUCUCUCUCUCUCUCUCUCUCUCUCUCUCUCUCAUUUUGAGACAGGGUGGCCUCUUAACUCACAGAGAUCCAACUGCCUCUGCCUCUGCCUCCCGAGUGCUGGAACUAAAGGUAUGGGCCACCAUGCCCAGCUUGUUCUUGAAAUAGGGUUUCUCUUUGUAGCCCUAGCUAUCCGACACCAGGCUAUUAUUUUGUCUUAGUGUUCAUACUUUUAAUGACAGCAUAACUUUUUUUAAGAUUUUAUUUUUAGGUAGAUGUCUUUGUGAGUGAGUUUACAGGUGGUUGUGAACAGCUGUGGGCCCUGUUAAAUACUGCAGAUAAGAUGCAUACAAUGACUUCUUUCCUGACUAUUAAACUGGGUUUUUCUCCUGUAUUAAAAGAAAUAUUUUAACAAGCA
rnacentral:lncRNA from 1 species